AUAAUUUUCCUAUUAUUAGGUCCUGAUCAACACAAUGUAGUAAAUGCUAUAUUUUGUUCAUGGAUGGCAGUUGGCAAUAUCCUGGGAUAUUCUGCUGGUGCUAGUGGAAAGUGGAACAGAUAGUUCCCUUUCCUGACAAAUAGAGCUUACUGUGAGGCCUGUGGCAAUCUUAAGGCCGCAUUUCUUGUUGCAGUGGUGGGUUACUAUCUGAUAUCAUUUUAUAUAUUGUUAGGUCAUAUAAAAUAUGUAAAUUUAAUUGAUCUAAGUUGUUCAUUUCAUACCAAUUUGAUUGAUGUAAUUUGUUUAAAUUUUUGUUCAUUCCAUACUAAUUACCAAUUUCUUUAAAGUUAAAUAAUCUUUAGCUUGAUUGAUGUAAUUUUUUCAAUCAAUAAUAGUAGUUUAUAGCUUUCAAAUA